rnacentral:rRNA from 1 species
CACGAACGCUGGCGGCAUGCCCUACACAUGCAAGUCGAACGGUAGAGGGGGCAACCUCUCGAGAGUGGCGAACGGGUGAGUAAAGCGUCGGAACGUGCCCAGUAGUGGGGGAUAGCCCGGCGAAAGCCGGAUUAAUACUGCAUGAGACCUACGGGUGAAAGGGGGGGAUCGCAAGACCUCUCGCUAUUGGAGCGGCCGAUGUCAGAUUAGGUAGUUGGUGGGGUAAAGGCCUACCAAGCCGACGAUCUGUAGCUGGUCUGAGAGGACGACCAGCCACACUGGGACUGAGACACGGCCCAGACUCCUACGGGAGGCAGCAGUGGGGAAUUUUGGACAAUGGGCGAAAGCCUGAUCCAGCCAUGCCGCGUGCGGGAAGAAGGCCUUCGGGUUGUAAACCGCUUUUGUCAGGGAAGAAAUCCUUUGAGUUAAUACCUCGGGGGGAUGACGGUACCUGAAGAAUAAGCACCGGCUAACUACGUGCCAGCAGCCGCCGUAAGAC